AUUGAACGCUGGCGGUAGGCCUAACACAUGCAAGUCGAACGCGAAAGUCCUUCGGGAUGAGUAGAGUGGCGGACGGGUGAGUAACGCGUAGGAAUCUGUCCUGGAGUGGGGGAUAACGUUUCGAAAGGAACGCUAAUACGGCAUACGCCCUACGGGGGAAAGCGGGGGAUCUUCGGACGUCGUGCUACAGGAGGAGCAUGCGUGGGAUUAGCUAGUUGGUGAGGUAAAGGCUAACCAAGGCGACGAUCCGUAGCUGGUCUGAGAGGAUGAUCAGCCACACCGGACAUGAGACACGGUCCGGACUCCUACGGGAGGCAGCAGUGGGGAAUAUUGCGCAAUGGGCGAAAGCCUGACGCAGCCAUACCGCGUGUGUGAAGAAGGCCUUCGGGUUGUAAAGCACUUUCAGUGGGGAGGAAAAGCUGGUGGCUAAUAUCCAUCGGCCGUGACGCUACCCACAGAAGAAGCACCGGCUAAUUCCGUGCCAGCAGCCGCCGCGGUAA
rnacentral:rRNA from 1 species